GUAGGUGGGCAAGCGUUGUCCGGAAUUAUUGGGCGUAAAGCGCGCGCAGGGGUGGGUUCGUUUAAGUCUGAUGUGAAAAGCCCCCGGGCUCAACCGGGGAGGGUCAUUGGAAACUGGGGAACUUGAGUGCAGGAGAGGAAAGUGGAAUUCCACGUGUAGCGGUGAAAUGCGUAGAUAUGUGGAGGAACACCAGUGGCGAAGGCGACUUUCUGGCCUGUAACUGACACUGAGGCGCGAAAGCGUGGGGAGCAAACAGGAUUAGAUACCCUGGUAGUCCACGCCGUAAACGAUGAGUGCUAAGUGUUGGGGGGUUUCCGCCCCUCAGUGCUGCAGCUAACGCAUUAAGCACUCCGCCUGGGGAGUACGGUCGCAAGACUG
rnacentral:rRNA from 1 species